rnacentral:rRNA from 1 species
AUCCUGGCUUAGGAUGAACGCUGGCGGCGUGCCUAACACAUGCAAGUCGAACGGAGAUUUGACGCUGAGGAGACUUCGGUCAAUUCUUGUUAAAUCUUAGUGGCGGACGGGUGAGUAACGCGUGGGCAACCUGCCUCGUACGUGGGGGAUAACAGUUGGAAACGACUGUUAAUACCGCAUAAGCGCACGGUAUCGCAUGAUACAGUGUAGAAAAACUCCGGUGGUACGAGAGUCGGGCCCGCGUCAGAUUAGCCAGUUGGCGGGGUAACGGCCCACCAAAGCGACGAUCUGUAGCCGGACUGAGAGGUCGGACGGCCACAUUGGGACUGAGACACCGGACCCAAACUCCGUACGGGAGGCAGCAGUGGGGGAUAUUGCACAAUGGGCGAAAGCCUGAUGCAGCGACGCCGCGUGAAGUGAAGAAGUAUUUCGGUAUGUAAAGCUCUAUCAGCAGGGAAGAAAGGCUCGUAAGAGAGAUGACGGUACCUGACUAAGAAGCCCCGGCUAACUACGUGCCAGCAGCUGC